GUGAGAUGAAAUCAGCGUUUGAAUAUAUGAUUUUACCCUAAUUUCAUCUCAUGA
rnacentral:pre_miRNA from 1 species